rnacentral:ncRNA from 1 species
GCUCUUUCGUGAGUUUAGAUCAUGAGAGGACUAGAGGAAGAAGCCACUGAGAUAGGGGAGAGUGGAAUUUCGUGUGGAGGGAUCAAAUCCUAAGAUAUAAGAAGGAACGCCAACCGCGAAGACAGCUCUCUGGGUCCCCAUUGACGCUGGGGUGAGAAAGCAUGGGGAGCAAACAUGAUAAGAUACCCUGGUAGUCCAUGCCGUAAGCGUGUUCGUCCUUGGUCUGCCUGCCUACUAAGUAGGAUUAGGAUCAGGGGGCAGCUAACGCAUGAAACACUCCGCCUGGGGAGUACAGUCGCAAGAUUGAAACUCAAAGGAAUUGACGGGGGCUGCACAAGCGGUGGAGCAUGUGGUUUAAUUGGAUACAACGCACAUAACCUUACCAGCUCUUGACAUAUGAACAAGUGUCCCUGUCCCUAACGGGAUGGUGCGAAAAUUCAUACCGGUGUUGCAUGGCUGUUGAAAAUUCAUACUGAUCAAUGUCAUCGCCCCUUCUCAAUGAAUCAAUAGGGCGAGGGUGAGAAACCGAACAGCUCUCCCGACAUAGGUUAUUUAUUGCUCACCCAUAGGAGGGUGAGGAGAGCGUUUAACUCGUCUAGACCAAAGGGAGAGAAGGGCGAUGCCAUUGCCUCUUUUUUUUAAUUGAUGAAACUCCUAUGAAGGCAGGUGUGUGCUUCACUCACAAGAGACUGCCAGUGAUAUGCUGGAGGAAGGUGGAGAUGACGUCAAGUCUUCAUGGCCUUUAUGGGCACACAUGCUAUAAUGGCAAUGACAAUGGGAAGCAAGGCCCUAAGGCGGAGAGAAUCCAUAAAGAUUGCCUCAGUUCGAAUUGUGGGGUUUUCCACUGGGGUGAAGUCAUAAAAAGUAGCAGUAGGGGAACCUACUGCUGGAUAGAAUCCCUCUUUGCCUCUAGGACUAAUUUGUUC